UACGGAGGGUGCAAGCGUUGUCCGGAAUCACUGGGCGUAAAGGGCGCGUAGGCGGCUCGGUAAGUAGGGGGUGAAAUCCUGCGGCUUAACCGCAGGGCUGCCUUCUAAACUGUCGAGCUCGAGCACGGUAGAGGCAGAUGGAAUUCCCGGUUUAGCGGUGGAAUGCGUAGAGAUCGGGAAGAACAUCAGUGGCGAAGGCGGUCUGCUGGGCCGUUGCUGACGCUGAGGCGCGACAGCGUGGGGAGCAAACAGG
rnacentral:rRNA from 1 species